AGGAAAAGAAACUAACAAGGAUUCCCCUAGUAACGGCGAGUGAAGUGGGAAAAGCUCAACUUUAAAAUCUGGCAGCUUCGCUGUCCGAGUUGUAGUCUCGAGAAGUGUUUUCCGCGCUGGAUCGUGUAUGAGUCUGUUGGAAUACAGCGUCAUAGAGGGUGAGAACCCCGUUCAUGACACGACUACCAGUGCUUUGUGAUACACUUUCGAUGAGUCGAGUUGUUUGGGAAUGCAGCUCAAAAUGGGUGGUAAAUUCCAUCUAAAGCUAAAUAUUGGCGAGAGACCGAUAGCAAACAAGUACCGUGAGGGAAAGAUGAAAAGCACUUUGGAAAGAGAGUUAACAGUACGUGAAAUUGUCGAAAGGGAAACGCUUGAAGUCAGACGUGCGCGGUGCGAUUCAGCCUUGGUUCGCCAGGGUGUACUUCGUACCAUUGCAGGCCAGCAUCGGUUUUGUGAGCCGGAUAAAGGUUAGAGGAAGGUAGCGGUCCAGGCCGUGUUAUAGCCUCUAACUGAAUACGGAUUGUGAGACCGAGGGACGCAGCGCGCCGCAAGGCAAAGGGUCCGCCCUUUUCGCGCUUAGGAUGCUGGUGAAAUGGCUUUAAACGACCCGUCUUGAA
rnacentral:rRNA from 1 species